UGGCCCAUAUCAGACAUGGCGGCUGCUGCUGCUCUGAGGAUUCCAUGCUCCGCUUUCACCCCAAGCCCUCGGCGGAAGUGCGUUAGUGAGGGGAGGAAGUGUAUUACGUAGUCUGGGUGGUUCCCAUUUCUGGCCCAAGGGAACUUUAUCCGGUUUGAUGGAAGAGAUGUCAGGAGAGAGUGUGGUGAGUUCUGUGGUGCCUGCAGCUACAACCCGCACCACCUCAUUCAAAUGUGCGAGUACUAGCUCUAAGUAUGUGAAACUGAAUGUAGGUGGUGCCCUCUACUACACCACCAUGCAGACUCUGACCAAACAGGACACUAUGCUGAAAGCAAUGUUCAGUGGCAGAAUGGAAGUGCUUACAGACAGUGAAGGUUGGAUUUUGAUCGACCGCUGUGGAAAACACUUUGGGACUAUAUUAAAUUACUUGCGGGAUGGAGCUGUACCACUGCCAGAAACCCGUAGAGAGAUAGAAGAACUUCUGGCAGAAGCAAAGUAUUAUCUUGUACAGGGACUUGCAGAUGAAUGUCAGGCUUCUUUGCAGCAGAAUAAAGAUGUCUAUGAGCCUUUCUGCAAAGUUCCAGUUAUCACUUCCUCAAAAGAAGAGCAAAAGCUUAUUGCCACAUCAAACAAGCCAGCAGUGAAACUCCUCUAUAACAGAAGCAAUAACAAAUAUUCCUACACCAGUAACUCUGAUGAUAAUAUGCUGAAGAACAUUGAGCUGUUUGACAAGCUAUCCCUAAGGUUUAAUGGUCGUGUCUUAUUCAUAAAAGAUGUCAUUGGAGAUGAGAUUUGCUGCUGGUCCUUCUAUGGCCAGGGACGCAAAAUUGCAGAGGUUUGCUGCACUUCCAUUGUGUAUGCUACAGAAAAGAAACAAACAAAGGUAGAGUUUCCCGAAGCACGAAUAUAUGAAGAGACAUUAAACAUUUUACUGUAUGAGGCUCAGGAUGGGCGAGGGCCAGAUAAUGCUCUUCUUGAGGCUACAGGUGGGGCUGCUGGGCGUUCCCAUCACUUAGAUGAUGAAGAUGAACGAGAGCGCAUUGAACGAGUUAGACGGAUCCACGUCAAGAGGCCAGAUGAUAGAGCUCAUCUUCACCAAUAAGACCUUAAUACAUUCCUUCUUUUGUGUCCGUCCAGAACUGGCAUCUACCUCCUCAAACUUAGCCUUGCUCACACAGGAGAAGGCAUUUCAUACCAACAGAGGGGGAGGGGGUUUUUAUACGCAAACUUGUGCUUUCAAUUUGAGCAUCAGCCACUUAUCACUUUGUCAUAUCACUUUUAAGGGACAACAACAUAGUAUAUUUGUAUUUUAUUCACUUAUGGACAUUUGCUUUCCUCAGACUGGCAUGGAAUAUUCACAGAGGCUCUGGCCUCUAACAAUGUUUUCUUUGAUAUUCUGUGAUGUAUUACCCAUAUGCGGCACUGUGGCAGUAGCUGUGACCUGUCAAUAUUUAUGGAGAAUAUCAACAAACCAAUGAAGUUACCAUAUACUAUCAUAGUUCCACCAAACUCCAGAUGCCUUACAAGUUCAUGUUUAGUAAAGCAAAAAAACUGUCCUCUCGAGAACAAUACCAAAUUUCCCAAACAGUGUUAUUUAAAUGCGCCUUUGUGGCUGUUUUGAAUAAUAAUACAUAACCUAUCUGUUGCUAGAAAGGACCAUGGUCUUUGUAAGCGAGAAAGGGUUUUUUACUGAACUGUAGUCUGGGAAUAAACUUUUUUACCCAGAUAAACACAAUGCACCUUUUUGAGUUUGUUUUUAUGUUAGGAUUAAUAUUAUAUAUAAAUAUGUAUUUCUUGGGUUUUUAUGAAUGCAGUCCCUUUUGUGUAAAAAAAAAAUGAUACCAUAACUUAUACUGUUUUCUCCAAUAAACACAAACCUGGAUUUAA